GAUGAAGAACGUAGCGAAAUGCGAUAAGUAAUGUGAAUUGCAGAAUUCAGAGAAUCAUCGAAUCUUUGAACGCACAUUGCGCCCGCCAGUAUUCUGGCGGGCAUGCCUGUUCGAGCGUCAUUACAACCCUCAGGCCCCCGGGCCUGGCGUUGGGGAUCGGCGGAGCCCCCCGUGGGCACACGCCGUCCCCCAAAUACAGUGGCGGUCCCGCCGCAGCUUCCAUCGCGUAGUAGCUAACACCUCGCGACUGGAGAGCGGCGCGGCCACGCCGUAAAACACCCAACUCUUCUGAAGUUGACCUCGAAUCAGGUAGGAAUACCCGCUGAACUUAAGCAUAUCAAUAAGCGGAGGA
rnacentral:misc_RNA from 1 species